rnacentral:rRNA from 1 species
AUAAGCGGAGGAAAAGAAACUAACAAGGAUUCCCCUAGUAACGGCGAGUGAAGCGGGAAGAGCUCAAAUUUAAAAUCUGGCAGUCUACGAUUGUCCGAAUUGUAAUCUCGAGAAGUGUUUUCCGCGUUGGCCUGUGCACAAGUCCCUUGGAACAGGGCGUCAUAGAGGGUGAGAAUCCCGUCCUUGGCACAGAUACCCAAUGCUUUGUGAUACACUCUCAAUGAGUCGAGUUGUUUGGGAAUGCAGCUCAAAAUGGGAGGUAAAUUCCUUCUAAAGCUAAAUACUGGCGAGAGACCGAUAGCGAACAAGUACCGUGAGGGAAAGAUGAAAAGCACUUUGGAAAGAGAGUCAAACAGUACGUGAAAUUGUUGAAAGGGAAACGAUUGAAGUCAGUCGUGCCUGCCUAGAUUCAGCCUUCUGGUGUAUUUCUAGGUCGGCAGGUCAGCAUCAGUUUGGGAGGGUUAACAAGGGGAUUAGGAAUGUGGCAACCUCGGUUGUGUUAUAGCCUAGUUUCGUAUUGAUCUUGCUGGACUGAGGAACGCAGUGCGCCCGCAAGGGUAGGUCUUCGGACACUUUCGCACUUAGGAUGCUGGCAUAAUGGCUUUAAACGACCCGUCUUGAAACACGGACCAGGGACUCUAACAUGUNUGCGAGUCUUUGGGUGGAAAACCCAUGGGCGUAAUUAAUGUAAAUGCAGGUGGGAUGCGCAAGCAGCACCAUCGACCGAUCUGGAUCAUUUAUGUGAUGGAU